rnacentral:rRNA from 1 species
GACGAACGCUGGCGGCGUGCUUAACACAUGCCAGUCGAACGGUAAGGCCCUUUCGGGGGUACACGAGUGGCGAACGGGUGAGUAACACGUGGGUGAUCUGCCCUGCACUUUGGGAUAAGCCUGGGAAACUGGUUCUAAUACCGGAUAGGACUACGCGAUGCAUGUCGUGUGGUGGAAAGCUUUUGCGGUGUGGGAUGGGCCCGCGGCCUAUCAGCUUGUUGGUGGGGUGAUGGCCUACCAAGGCGACGACGGGUAGCCGGCCUGAGAGGGUGUCCGGCCACACUGGGACUGAGAUACGGCCCAGACUCCUACGGGAGGCAGCAGUGGGGAAUAUUGCACAAUGGGCGCAAGCCUGAUGCAGCGACGCCGCGUGGGGGAUGACGGCCUUCGGGUUGUAAACCCCUUUCAGCACAGACGAAGCGUAAGUGACGGUAUGUGCAGAAGAAGCACCGGCCAACUACGUG